rnacentral:rRNA from 1 species
AGGACGAACGCUGGCGGCGUGCCUAACACAUGCAAGUCGAACGAGGCUGAUCUGGUGGCAACACCAGGGACUGCCUAGUGGCGAACGGGUGCGGAACACGUGAGCAACCUGCCCCAAAGACUGGGAUAACAGCGGGAAACCGUUGCUAAUACUGGAUACCCCCACGAGAUCGCAUGGUCUUGUGAGGAAAGGAUUCCGCUUUGGGAGGGGCUCGCGGCCUAUCAGCUUGUUGGUGAGGUAACGGCUCACCAAGGCAACGACGGGUAGCUGGUCUGAGAGGACGAUCAGCCACACUGGGACUGAGACACGGCCCAGACUCCUACGGGAGGCAGCAGUUAGGAAUUUUCCGCGAUGGGCGAAAGCCUGACGGAGCAACGCCGCGUGUGUGAUGAAGGCCUUCGGGUUGUAAAGCACUGUCGGAGGGAAGAAUGAAUGACGGUACCUCCAAGAACGCCCGGCUAACUACGUGCCAGCAGCCGC